UACGGAGGAUGCGAGCGUUAUCCGGAUUUAUUGGGUUUAAAGGGUGCGUAGGCGGGAUGCCAAGUCAGCGGUAAAAAUGCGGUGCUCAACGCCGUCGGGCCGUUGAAACUGGCGUUCUUGAGUGGGCGAGAAGUAUGCGGAAUGCGUGGUGUAGCGGUGAGAUGCAUAGAUAUCACGCAGAACUCCGAUUGCGAAGGCAGCAUACCGGCACCCUACUGACGCUGAGGCACGAAAGCGUGGGUAUCGAACAGG
rnacentral:rRNA from 1 species